ensembl:lncRNA
GUUCAGGGUAAAGAUGGAUGGAGUCUAUGCUGUGAGUGUCUCUGGGGAUUUGUGUUGAUGUCUGAGCCAACUAUCCACUGUUACUUUCCCUCUGUGUGACUGAGCACUGAGCAGCAGCUGGAACAGGGCUGGUAACAGACAGAAGGGUCUCAGGCAGGGCAGGGCAGUGACUGACUGACUGACUGAGUGACAGUAACAGGGCUGGUAACAGACAGAAGGGUCUCAGGCAGGGCAGGACAGACAGUGACUGACUGACUGACUGAGUGACAGUAACAGGGCUGGUAACAGACAGAAGGGUCUCAGGCAGGGCAGGACAGUGACUGACUGAGUGACAGUAACAGGGCUGGUAACAGACAGAAGGGUCUCAGGCAGGGCAGGACAGUGACUGACUGACUGACUGAGUGACAGUAACAGGGCUGGUAACAGACAGAAGGGUCUCAGGCAGGGCAGGACAGUGACUGACUGACUGACUGAGUGACAGUAACAGGGCUGGUAACAGACAGAAGGGUCUCAGGAAGGACAGGAUAGUGACUGACUGAGUGACAGUAACAGGGCUGGUAACAGACAGAAGGGUCUCAGGCAGGGC